AGUGAACGCUGGCGGUAGGCCUAACACAUGCAAGUCGAACGGCAGCACAGUAAGAGCUUGCUCUUACGGGUGGCGAGUGGCGGACGGGUGAGGAAUACAUCGGAAUCUACUUUCUCGUGGGGGAUAACGUAGGGAAACUUACGCUAAUACCGCAUACGACCUACGGGUGAAAGCAGGGGAUCUUCGGACCUUGCGCGAUUGAAUGAGCCGAUGUCGGAUUAGCUAGUUGGCGGGGUAAAGGCCCACCAAGGCGACGAUCCGUAGCUGGUCUGAGAGGAUGAUCAGCCACACUGGAACUGAGACACGGUCCAGACUCCUACGGGGGGCAGCAGUGGGGAAUAUUGGACAAUGGGCGCAAGCCUGAUCCAGCCAUACCGCGUGGGUGAAGAAGGCCUUCGGGUUGUAAAGCCCUUUUGUUGGGAAAGAAAAGCAGCAGGUUAAUACCCCGCUGUUCUGACGGUACCCAAAGAAUAAGCACCGGCUAACUUCGUG
rnacentral:rRNA from 1 species